ensembl:lncRNA
GUGCUGGGUCUUUGUUGCUUCGCGGGCUGUCUCUAGUUGUGGCAAGCAGGAUCUACUCUCUAGUUGCGUGGGCUUCUCAUUGCAGUGGCUUUUCUUAUAGAGAACAGGCUCUAGGCACGUGGGCUUUAGUAGUUGGGGCACACAGGCUUAAUUGCCCUGUGGCAUGUGGAAUCUUCCCUGGACCAGGGCUCAAACCCAUGUGCCCUGCAUUGGCAUGUGGUUUCCUAACCACUGGACCACCAGGGAAAUCCCCAUGUUACUGCUUUAGUAUCCCCACCACAGAAGCAUGCCUUGAUAGGGCCUCUUGAGAGCAAGAGGUCCAAACUGAUGGAAGAAUCCUCUACUGUGGCCUGCCCCCUGCGUGUGAUGGAGACCUAAUUUCUGCAGUUCCUUCUGGGACUUUUCUUGAGGAGGGUUUUAGAAAAUCCCCAGUUCUUCAGGUAACUUCCAGGGUCACAGGUGAGUCUUUUCUAACGGCUUUUUCAGGCUUACUCCGUCCUCUUCCCUCCUCGCUGUCAGCCAGUACUUCUGCUUGGGCAUUUCCCUGGGGUGGGAGCAGUUUGACCAGGACUUGCACGCAGACCCUUGGCCGGUGCAGGCAUGGUCCUCCCUAUGAUGUAUUCACCCAGCAUCCUGGUGCCCAGAAGGGUUUUCUCCCACGUGAUGCCCACAGACACUGUUCAGCUCUCUGCCUUCCCAGAUCACUCUUAAAAGUGUACCCUCCCCCCACCCCCAGCUCCUGGGACCUGGUUGGUGGCUGCACAGCAAGUGAACUGGGGCCCUUUCCCGGCGCGGCCACACCCACUCUGACCUCGCGACGUCUGAUUGGCUGUAGCUCACAGGUGGGGCGGGGCCAGCGAGAUGUUCUCACCUCCUGUGGGGUCGCCUACCUUCCACGUACCUCUCCGCAGCCCAAACUGGAGCCUGCAUCCCUGGCCCUGGGCACGGACACGCCGGGAUGCCGAGGGUGGAGGCUCCUGCAGGCAAGAAUCGUCUUGAGAAUUUUUCUCCCUUUUGCAUUUUAAUGUCAGACUUUGGGAGAGGGUAAAAUGGUCCUUGGAAGAGUACAAACACGGGGCAAAUAUCCCCAGGUACUGCAGUGGUUGAUGGGUUUCCCCCUACUGCCACCAGCCCGAAGUGAUCUAAUUUCGCCGUUGUCAGAACCACUCACUCCCUUGAAAUCCUUCCCCAGUGUUCCUCUCUCCCACAGUAGCGUUUACUGACCCCCAGUGCCAGUAAACCAAGGUAAUGGCACUGUUCAUUACCUUCUUGAAUCCUCACAACAACCUGAUGAGGUAGAUGUUUUUAAUCCCCCUUUGUGGAUGAGGAAGCUGAGCCUUAAAGACUGACUGACGGCGCAAGUGCUUGCGCCGAGGUCUCUUCCUACACCACCCGGUGCAAUCC